UCCACUAAUGCAAUAAACUGUCUGCACUUAAUGUUCUACCUACAAUUAAAGUUUUUAUUUCCUAACUCUAUAGUAUAGGGAUAGAUACAGCAAUAUAUUCCUGUAAUCUAUCAGCUGUAAGCUUUGUACCCUCUAACUGGCUUCUGUAUUUGCCCAGGUGUAUGUGAGUCAGUUUUGUUUUUUUAAUGGAAUUUUUAUUUUCAGUGCCAUCACCCAUCUUGUGAGCUGUUGAGGGAGAACAACCACAGGCUGCCGAGGGAAAAUGAUUCUCUCAAGGCAAAAAUAGCAACAUUGAAAUUGCUGCCAGACGUUUUGCAGAAGAUGGAGGAGUUUCUCCGCUCAGCACCAAGACCAACGACAACACCAAUACCAAGACCAAGACCAAGACCAAAACCAGAACCAACACUAUCACCAGCACCAACAGCAGUUCCAGCACCAGCAACAGAACACCCAUCACCAGCUCCAGGUCCAUCAUCAGCAUCAGCAACAGAGGCCCUGGGCCACUCUGUCAUUCCAAAAGGACGUGUGGAGCGCUGCUCCUUCCAAAGCCCCCAGAAGUUCAUAAAUGAUCUCCUACAUGGGAUGUAUACCAGGGAAUAUAUGGCAGGCCAUUCAGUGACUGGCCAGUCAUCCAGCAGCUGCACAGAAGGAAAACCUGGCGUAGCCAAACAGGACCUUGUUGAAAUAACAAAUCCUGCUAAGUUUAAGUUCACCUACAUAACUGAUACGAACAUAAAAGCAUUUAUACGACAAAAGCUGAACAAUGCUGC